AACCCCAAUGGAUGCCCUUUUUUUAUUUAAAGCACUCUCGGGCCGGGGGGAGGAGAAGGAAGAUGCGGCGCCGUCACACUCUCCCGAUCAGAGACCGGCCUCCUCACAAGCGAAGGCAGAGGACAAGCAGCCCCCACCUUCCCGUCCUCUGAACUCUCUAGGCUAUUUUUAGGAAGACGAGAAAACCCGCGCUGCCCCCUCGUGUGUGGAGGAGUGGGGGCGGGGAGGCAGCUCUCUGCGCGCAGCCCUGAUGCAAGAACAAGAGGCACCAGAGACCAGCUCUGCCCGGCGGCGGGCCUUGCAGCACCUCAAUCAAAGCCUCUCCCCUCCCGCCCCCCGGGCUCAUAUUGUCAGCGGCGAAGGUAUCUGGACAACCUGCUGUCACUCACCACAGCACAGUGACUGGCGGGGAUCCCCGCUUGGAUCCCCAUAGAGAAGCAUCCCUGAUCUAAGCCGUAACCAGCCGCCGCAGCGGCUUUUCCAGCGCCCACAACGCAGCGUUCCGCCCAACACAUCACGCUCUCAACCCGGCCGCCCCCGCCGCUGGUUCAGGACGUGUUGCGCCUUCCUCCCAGAUCUUUAUUGAAGGGGAAGCGAAUCGUACACAUCCACUCACCUUCCCGACGGCCGAUUCAACAACGCAUGUUUCUCCCACUCGCUCGCACACUCUCUACUGCGGCGACGCCGCCUUUGCUUAUGAGAGACUCGCCGUCCCCCUCAGCAGCCGCCCCCCCCCGUGGGCUGUUGAGAGCUUGCUUGCUUUUUCUUCUUCAAAGGGAGGUCUUUUUAAAAGACGACGCCGGGGAUGCACUGGACAAACGCCGGGGCGUACUUCCCGCUAUUAUUCCAACCCCCAGCAUCCAGCUGCAGCUGCUGAUCCCAAAUUCACAGUACUCCGGCUGCAUGAAGUCAUAGUGCUCCUCCUCCUCCUCUUUCACUCCCCCCCCCGGAGCACCGCACUCGACUCCUGCGGGAGGAGGGAAGGAGACGAACACUUCUCCCCACCCUCCGAGAGGUUCGACGGGGUAGGCACACACACGACUUAAAAAGACAUUGGGAAGCUUCGCAUUGAUUUUUUUAUUAUUAUUAUUCAUCUCUGGCAUGCCGAAGAAGAGUUCCCACCUUCUCUUACUCCGACCCUCACCCCGGUUUUGAAUGCUCAAUGGGCUGUUCCACUCCGUGAUAAUCUCGCCUCCCCUCCAACUUCCCUCGGUGCUCCCUGGAGGGUCCGUUUACGAAGGGGGUGGAGGAUAGGAAUUGAUGCUCCGUGCAGUGCAGCGCGGAUCUAACUGUACCUGUGAGUUGCAGAUCCUGCUACCAAUCAGCCCCUUCCGGCAGGGUGGCUGGGGAAUGCAUCUUGCGCGCUGUGAGCCUCGCUUGCAAGUUGAUCGAGGAGCAGAGUGCUUGAGAAACGGAUUUCUCCCUGCGAAGCAUUUUCGAGGAGACGCUGCAUAGGGCUUUGACAUCAGUUGGGGAGGCUCUUCUGGCUGUGCCAACAUUGAUGAGAACAGGAUACAUCUGUGACCUUCAGUUACACUGCAGUGGAACACUCCCCCCCCCGAGUUCUGGCUGGUGUCUACUUAAUCUAUUUCUUGGCACCAUCUGAAGGAGCUGUGCCCAAGGACCCUCAGAAGUUUGGAGCCGGCUCUGCAGGUACCUGCACCGAAGGAGCUUGUAAUCUAAAUACUGACAGCAGAGGGCAGGGAAGAAACAGGAGCGAGAAUGGAAAGCAAAGUCUUGGACCAUCAGGAAGUUCUCCUUGAUGGUAUGAGCUGCUGGACAAUGGGACAAUAACCUGAAAAACUAUGACCUUUACCACAAGAGAUGAGGAAAUCUAUGAGUUCCAGAUGACUUCUGGAACUAACAAACUACAAGUUCCACUUACCACACUACAGUAGGAGAAAUGUGAGUUGUUUUUGCUUCUUCUUUCCCUAGUUGGGACUCCUUUCUCAUGGCCAGAAAGUGUGUAAGCUUAAUGCAUGGAGGCAAAGAACGAUUACACUCUGUUGUUGCUCCUGACUUCCACAGUUUCAUUCUAUGCAAUAGAGCAUAUGAAUUCAUGAAGGUAGGAAACAGGGAACAAAGGUACAAUCUCAUCCCCUUCUGUGUGUUUAGUCCAGACAGGUUCCAUCUCUGAAAAGGGCUGAGGCAUUGUGUGAAGUAAAUCUAAGUGAUAAAUAACUUGCACAGCAAGCUAGAAAUGGAAGAUGGGUCUCGUGAGUGCCAAGUUUAGGAACAAGCCAAGUAAGCCAUGGCUUAGUGCCUCACAUUAUGAGGGGCCUCUAAAUAGGUUGGAGAUAACUGUGAUUAUAAUUGAAAUUGAUUUGGUUUAACCUUUCAUAUAAAACCCACCACCAAAAUUCUGAACCCUGACCUCCACAUCCCAGUCCACACUCAAUCCCAUCAUCAUCGUUUCCAGAACUACUUGCAUCAUCCACAGGUUGCCCAACCUCACCUCAGACCUGAAGAGGAGACAAUGGGAGCUAAUGUCCCAACAUAUUCUAAAGUCCUGUUCUAUACCAGGCAUCAUUUCCACUAAUCUCCUCCUUGCCACUCUCCCACCUCUUUUUUUCUCUUAAUUUUUUAUAGUAUGGGGCCUCUGAAUCUUGACAUGGUUUAGGGCCCCAGCAUGUCUCAAUCUAGCCCAGGGUCUCCCUCAUUCAAAAUAAACACUCUUGCCAAUUUUCCAUGUUAAGCAGCACAAUCUGUGUUUUUCCAAGAAAGAGAUGAGCUUUGCUGUGGAAGUUGUUGGGGCAAAUGUUGAGGGGAAGGGACAGUCCUUUCCUGAAUGUUGCUCAGGAAAGUUUAUGUGUUGGUUAAGCUUGAUCUGUUCUUUGUGAUCAGUGAGCUGUGGAGCACUUAGGAAUCAUGCAGACUGUUGUUUAUUUCAUGGAUUGGGGCUACUAUUUCUAAAGUUAUCUCCACAGUCAAGAUGAGCUCAGUUCUCACCAUGUGCUUAUCCUAGUACACAUGACUGACAUGCACUGGUGUGGGGCCUGCUUAAACUCCUCAUUUUUCACAACUGAAUUACCACACCUAUUUCAAGAAUGUCUUUUCUCUGAGACACUAUCUCUAAGAACAAAAAGCCACUAUGUAAGUGAGCAUUAAGCCACCAGCCUCUUAGUUCUUCCCAAGGCUAUGCUAUGAAGACAGACCUUUGUUAAGAGGCAAGAGGGAAGACCUCUGAAAGGGUGGAACCAGAUGUAGUUUGUGGCCACUACUGGAUCAUGAUGAGUCAUUCUGUUAUUUCAUGCAUGUGGGGGAAGAAGGGGCACUCAUUAUGACACAUCUUAUUUAAGAUACAAACAGAUAUCUUAGUGAGGCCCAAGCCAAGGUUCUGUGGUUGGCUUCCAUGUCACACCAAAAAUGUAUGGCCACUUUGAUUACAUCGGUACUUCUCACAUGAACUUCCCAGAGGUCCCUGGGAAGAGGAUUGAUUAUUAAACCUCUCUAGGAACUGUAGUCCUGUGAGGGAAAUAGGGAGUCUCCAAACAACUGUCAGCCCCUUAACAAACUACAGUUGCCAGGAUUCUUUAGGGGAAGCCAUGAGGGUUUAAAGUGGUAUGCUACUGCUUUGAAUGUGUAGAGCAGAUGGGGCCUUUAUCCUGACUGGCAAUUGCUCUCUAGGGUCUCUAGAAGAGAUGUUUUCUACCUUUGCAGCCUGAGAUGGGACAAGAGGAACUGAGUCUAAAUCUUUAUACAUGCAAAGUGUAUGCUUUACCAUUGAAUUAUCGUUUAUGCUUUUAAGAGCCUCUUUGCAGAGCUUUAUUGUUUAUUAUUAUUUAGUUAUUAAAUUUAUAUCCUGCCCAUCCUCCCAGUAGGAGCCCAGAGGAAUUGUGCAAGAAUGAUGUAACGACAGCCACUCCUUUUUCCUAUUUGGUUUUACAAUCAUGUACAUGGCCUUCCUCCAUUUUUCUGGGCAAAAAUGUUAAUUGUGGAUUUUGUUAUUGUUGAGCAUCCAAGGCUUAAAAAUAUGAAUGCUAUUUCCCUGGGGUUCUUAGUGAUCUGCAGGAGUCUGAAGUUACAUAUCCUAAUUUCACUGACUCAAAAUGGAUCAGAAAACCAUGUUUAUUCAUAAUGACUAAAUCAUCUGCACAAUUGGUCUAGUGGACUGUUAACAUUUAGGAAUGCAAGUUGUGCAUGUAUACAGCAGUAGAUGUUUGGGACUUUAAAAGCUCACAUAGUUUAUUAAAUAAGGUUAGGCCAUUGAUCUGUUUUGGCGGGUUCAGUAAUUCUAUUUUAUUGCUUGCUGAUUGAAGCAAAACAGAAAUUGCAUUUUAAAUCCCAGCUUGGAAAGAGGAAGUUUCUGCACGAGAUACUUCUGCCCUGAUUCUCUUAUGGAAAGUUUUGUUUCUGAACUUUCAGGGCUUAGCUAUGCCUCAGAAAAUCUAGGUGCACCAGCCUAGGAUGAUGUUGUCAUUGUUGCCUCAUACGACUGGGCUUAUCAUGAUAUGUGAACCCAGCACAGAAAAGAUGCAUCCUGGCUGCUAGGGAAAAAGGAAGGGCAAACUAUGGAGAUUCCAAGGACCAGGGAAAACGACAGAAGCAGGAAACAUGCGCUAGAAGGGAGGGCAAAACAGCAGCUCUUUAGGACACCAGGGAUUCCUAUUGCCUGGUAUCCAAACAACUUACUCAUAAAUCCCAGCUCUGAUUUCACUCACUGGCUAAUAACACUGACAGGCAGGAUCAGCCAGGCUGGCUGGUUUCACCUAAGCCACUUAGAAGGGAACCUGCACAUGUUUCUUCAUAACAUUCUUUCUUGGAGGGCUAGAGAUUUUGUUUUAAAAUGAAAGCUCAGAUUCUGGGCUACCUGAUGUAGAUGCCAGGUUAGUGACCCCCAGUCUAAGCCAUCCAUGUCCAUCGGUCAGCUUGCCCUUAAACAUUUUAAAUUACAGGAACAACAAUUCAUACCUCUCUGGUCACCUGAGGUAAUUCUUCUCAAGCUAGUUUCAAGGGUGGUAUUUUUUUUUGGGGGGGGGGUGCUCUCAGAUUAGGGAACUCUGUAGGUCUGCUCCACACAAAAGAACACCCAGCACUCCUUCUUUCUGCAGAGGUACUUAUGGGGGUCCCCCAGAAUUCCCUCCCUUUGAAUAUUAGGCAGGUGGCAUCUCUGCUAUCUUUUCGGCACCUUUUGAAGACUUUCCUCUUUCAACAAACCUUUUAAGUUGAGAGCUAUCCCAGUCUGCAUCUGUGUCAGAAUCAUUUAAUAUAUUUUUAAUAAUGUU